UUUUGGUGUCACAUGAUUGUUUUAAUCAUGUGGUGAAAAGGGAAUCCGGUGUGAAUCCGGAACAGGCCCGCUGCUGUAAGCUUCAUCAAUGUCUUUGGCAAGACUCGUAUCCACUGUUUCGAAUGAAAAUGGGAAGGAUGUUCAAAGGCGAAGUAAGUCAGAAAACCUGCCAGAAUUAUA
rnacentral:ncRNA from 1 species